rnacentral:piRNA from 1 species
UCCAGCUGCCCUUGCACAAAACGACAAACUC